rnacentral:lncRNA from 1 species
UAAAUUUUCACAUCCAUUGCAAGUUUAAGGAUAAGGUGAUCACCUUUUGCAAGUUUGUGAACUAAAUCAUCUCAUCCAUUGCAAAUUUGUGGAUGUGUAGUGCUCUUGACUCAAUAUAAUAGCCAACCCUACAUCGAUGAGUGGAUGGCUACUAGCCAAAGCAUUUACCAAGGCCAUUAAUGAGAUAACAUAGCGAGCACACACCAACAACUAAAUCCAGCAUCUCAAUUAAAUGACAAAAAAGUUAAUCCCGGUCGAUAUGCAAGAUGCAACCAAACAAGAACGGUUGUGAAUGGUGAGAUCGCAAUCACCCAGAUUAACAGGAUCACACCACCAAACUUUCCAAACCCAUGAAUGAUGCGGAUAAGAAGACCUAGCAGCACGCCGCCGGCGCGAGGUAGUCCUUGGCUCCGUCCUCCACCUGCGCCUGUCCGCCGAACAGGCCGGCCCUGAACAGCAGGAACCCCACCGCGUGGCCAGCGACUGCCACGAGGAGCACGCCGACGUUGAACGACAUGAGCGCGAGCAUGAGGACGUACGCCAUCCCGACGCGCAGCGCGUGCACGGCGGCGCGCGCCGCCCCCGCUGCCGCGGGCCGGUCGCGGGAGGAGAGGCGGGACUCGAGCCAGCGGGAGGAGGAGAGGCACUCCACGAGCACGGCGAGCGCGAAGACGACGAGGAGCGCGAGCGCGUACAUGCCACCGCUGGAGCCGGGCCACCCGUGGAAGAGGAUCUCCGAGUUCUUGCCCCAGUAGAAGGUCAUGUGCAUGUAGUGCAUCUGCAUGCCCCCGUGCGCCGCCGCCGCCGCCGGGGCGGCGGCGCCGCCCAUGCCCACGCCGUGCCCUCCCAUUCCCAUGUCCAUCGCGCGCUGGACGCCGAUGAUGAUCUGGUGGCG